CGAGGGUCGUGCCUGGUUUUGCU
rnacentral:miRNA from 1 species